rnacentral:rRNA from 1 species
UACGAAGGGGGCUAGCGUUGUUCGGAAUUACUGGGCGUAAAGGGCGCGUAGGCGGCGUGUCAAGUCAGGCGUGAAAGCCCCGGGCUCAACCUGGGAACCGCGCUUGAGACUGGCAUGCUCGAGUUCGGGAGAGGAUGGUGGAAUUCCCAGUGUAGAGGUGAAAUGCGUAGAGAUCGGGAGGAACACCCGUGGCGAAGGCGGCCAUCUGGACCAGCACUGACGCUGAGGCACGAAAGCGUGGGGAGCAAACAGG